rnacentral:tRNA from 1 species
AAAUCCGUCCGGGGGGUCUAAGGGAUGUCGGGCCUGCCAUCCGUGGGCCGGUAGCUCAGCCUGGGAGAGCGUCGGCUUUGCAAGCCGAAGGCCCCGGGUUCGAAUCCCGGCCGGUCCACCACGAAGAGGUGCACAUCCCAAGCUCUGCUUGGGGUGGAAGGGUCCGAGACCCCGAACAGGGG